UGGGGAAUAUUGGACAAUGGGCGCAAGCCUGAUCCAGCCAUGCCGCGUGAGUGACGAAGGCCCUAGGGUUGUAAAGCUCUUUCACCGGUGAAGAUAAUGACGGUAACCGGAGAAGAAGCCCCGGCUAACUUCGUGCCAGCAGCCGCGGUAAUACGAAGGGGGCUAGCGUUGUUCGGAUUUACUGGGCGUAAAGCGCACGUAGGCGGACUUUUAAGUCAGGGGUGAAAUCCCGGGGCUCAACCCCGGAACUGCCUUUGAUACUGGAAGUCUUGAGUAUGGUAGAGGUGAGUGGAAUUCCGAGUGUAGAGGUGAAAUUCGUAGAUAUUCGGGGGAACACCAGUGGCGAAGGCGGCUCACUGGACCAUUACUGACGCUGAGGUGCGAAAGCGUGGGGAGCAAACAGG
rnacentral:rRNA from 1 species